AAAGGGCCCCCCCCAGGGGGGCCUGCGGCUUUUUUUUUUUCCUCACGGCGAAAAUAACCCCCGCCGGCCACCCCAAGGAGUGACAGACUGAAAGCUCCUUCUUAUUUCGGGGGGUGGGGGUGCAUGGGGGUUUUUUUUUUGGGGAGAAGUUUUUCUGUGGAUUUCCUAUAAAAAGAGAGACACAGUCCUUUAAAAUAAACAGAGUAUUAUAAAAAAAAAAACCUCGCUUCUUAGGGGGAGGGCCGCGCCGCCUCCCCGCAAAAAAAAAAAAAAACAAUUGUGAGACCAUAAGAGGCGGGGGUGGCCUGGCGCUGUAUUUGAAGGAGGAAGAGCCGCCGACUCGGGCGGAGAGAACGACGCCCAACCUUUUUUUGGGGGUGAUAGGGAAAUUAAUUUUUCCCUUUUCAACAAAGAAUCAGUUCUGUGGGGGAGGAUCGCGUUGAUUACUUCCCCUCCCCUCCGUCCGCCCCGCCCGCCGCUCCUACCGGUUUGUAUGAUUAAUUAAUUAAAUAAGAACAA
rnacentral:rRNA from 1 species